ensembl:miRNA
GUGGUUAGCGCGCCUGCUUGUAACCCAGAGGUAAUGGGUUCAAGGCUCGACGCUGCUAC